GAGAGUACUGUUUCGAAUUCUUUCUUUUGUGGUGAGUUCUUCUUUCUAGUCAUUUUGCUCAGUGCAGAGUGGCUGUAUGAGCGGGCUGAGUCAAGAAUAUCAACCAUGACCUAAGUAAAUUUCACCCUAGAUGAUUCUGC
rnacentral:miRNA from 1 species